UACAGAGGGUGCGAGCGUUAAUCGGAAUUACUGGGCGUAAAGCGUGCGUAGACGGUUAUUUAAGUCGGAUGUGAAAGCCCCCGGCUCAACCGGGGAGGGUCAUUGGAAACUGGGGAACUUGAGUGUAGAAGAGGAAAGUGGAAUUCCACGUGUAGCGGUGAAAUGCGUAGAGAUGUGGAGGAACACCAGUGGCGAAGGCGACUUUCUGGUCUAUAACUGACACUGAGGCGCGAAAGCGUGGGGAGCAAACAGG
rnacentral:rRNA from 1 species